rnacentral:lncRNA from 1 species
UUUUUUUUUUUUUUUUUUUUUUUUUUUUGCUUUUUAGGGCCGCACCCAAGGCAUAUGGAGGUUCCCAGGCUAGGGGUCUAAUCAAAGCUACAGCUGCCAGCCUACACCACAACCACAGCAGUAUCAGAUCCGAGCCGCAUCUGCGACCUACACCACAGCUCAUCUCAAUGCUGGAUCCUUAACCCACUGAGUGAAACCAGGGAUCGAACCCUCAACCUCAUGGUUCCUAGUCGGAUACGUUUCCACUGCGCCACGAUGGGAAUUCCAUGGUUUUCCUUUACUUUCACACACUCCAGAUAAUUGUCAGUGUCCUAUGAAUCCAUCUCAUUUGCACUGGUGUGGCACACACAGACUCUUUCAAAACCUUAUCAUAUCUGCACAGGCUAAUCCAGGCUCCUGGAGUCCACACUAUGUUGCAUACACUUGUGAGAUCUAUCCCAAAUGGCCUGCCAAUUUUCUAACAAAGUUGCCAAAUAAAACACCAGAAUGAAAUUAACAACACACAUCGAGUCUUAUUUGGCAUUUUUGGAUAGAGAAAUAUCUUAGAAUACCUCUCCAAGCUACAAAAUUGUUGCUUUCUUGGGAGUUCCUGUUGUGGCGCAGUGGUUAACGAAUCCGACUAGGAACCAUGAGGUUUCAGGUUCGAUCCCUGGCCUUGCUCAGUGGGUUAAGGAUCUGGCAUUGCUGUGAGCUGUGGUCGUAGACUCGGCUCGGAUCCUGCGCUGCUGUGGCUCUGGCGUAGGCCGGUGGCUACAGCUCUGAUUAGACCCCUAGCCUGGGAACCUCCAUAUGCCGUGAGAGUGGCCCAAGAAAUGCCAAAAAAGACACACACACAAAAAAAUUGUUGCUUUCUUUCCACAAUGCUGGGCAAAUUUUAUUAUAGUAAUAAUGCAGUAUCUUCACCUUGUCAAAGUCUUUCAUAUAUUUGGAGGAAGAGCAAAAAAAAAAAAAUUACUCUUUUCUUGCUAACAGAAGUUUUAAUUAGAAAGAAAAGACCACCAGAAAUAAUAUCUUUAGUAUAGUAUAUUUAUAGGAAUGCAUAACUUGUGAGAUGUACAUUUUGAAGUUUCAUCCAUAACUUAUAACAUUUACUGUAGUAAUAAUAACAAGACAGCAGAUCAUCACUUUACAACAUUACACAUGAGUGAUUUUGACUUACAAAUAAAAUAUUUACAACCUACCUUUACAAAACGACGUUGUGUGCAUACAAAAUGAACAACUGCAGAAAAAUUUAAAAAUAAUGAGACAACCAAAAACCCAGAAGAUACACUUAAGGCAGACCAGCAAGACACUGAAAUAAUUAAGGCUGUGGAAUUCUUCUGCACCUUGAAAAUAUAGAGCUAUUUAUCAAUACUGUGGAGUGAUUUUAAAUCAACUGUUACAAGCGUUAUGGAAGUAUGUACUUAUAUGUAUAUGUGUAAUGGUCCCUAUGGGGAAACCUGUCCACUUAUAGAUAAGGCCCUUUAUCUGAAUGGUCAGAGAAGCCCACACUCUCAAAAGACUUGGUGGGGAGGGGUCACUCAAAACUAAGGGGUGCCAAUGAAGUUCGCAAACCAACAAUUAUUAAUUCAAACAAAGAUUCUUCUGACUCCAGGUAAACAGAAUAACUUAAAUGAUGGCCACAUUAUGUUUCAAGCUUUGUAGACUUCAGAAUACAGCAAAUAAUUCCCCAAUGAGUAGAAUCUAACUCUCCCCAUCAGCCCUAAUGGUUUUGAAUGGCUCUCAAUGGUUUUCUAAUAGAAAAACUGACCCACCUGGACUGUCUUCAAAUGGAUAGAUUUCUGCAUAUGAGCCAUAACAUAUACAUACAUAUUAUACACUAUAUACAUGUACAGAUGUACAUAUAUCCAUAUUUUCCAACAGUUUGCACUUUGAUCACUAUUGUGCUCUGACUAGGAUCUCAUUCUGAAGAAUAUGUCUAGUUUUUUUUCACAGUCUUCACAUUUGUCUUAACUACUAGUUUUACUCACCUUCCCCAUAGACUAGGCUGAAGUUUGGCAGAAACAGAAGUAAAAGCACCAGGGUCAAAAAAAAUCAAACACAGAGAGGACAGAUAUGGCUUAAGUUCAUAAGAGAAGAUGUAUGUUUCGUUAACUUCAAAUUCAUAACCACAGUCUGAGAUCAAGGUAACAGUCCCCGUUAAGCCUACAGGAUGUGGAUUCAUUUCUUGAUAGAAGUCAGGGCAUUGAUGGAACUUUUAUACUAGCUAUUCCUGGGCUAGGAAAUUUGCUUGCUUAAAUUAAGCUUCAGGAUUGAGAUUCUGAAAAUUUCUAUUUGCACGCUUUUCCAACACCCUCCAUUUUCUCAGUCAUCCUCACCAUCCAAAAUAAGUUAUCUGAAUAAACAGUUAAUCUCGAUCAUUUGAAUAAAAACUAAAUCUGACCCCAUUUUAGAAUCUCCCAGCCAACAAGCUGACAGGAAACUCAAUAGCCUAUGAGUAUAAUUUCAGGCUUUCCAUCCAUGUCCAUUAAAGAGGAAAAUUCAUCUUAGAGUACUUGCUUUUUCCUCUCCUCUAACUUCUACAUAUAUGGAAAAUGAGGAAGAAAUGAUUUUUAGAGAAAACAUGGCCUGUGAUAUUUCUGUGUUCUCUUUUCGUAUAGAUUUCUCACGUGAAUAAUAUUCUCUAGUAGAAACAUCUAACACUAUGCACAAAUUUCAGCCCUUUUAAACUCUCUAAAAUUAAUGAAACAACUCAGAGCCUUAUAGUCUUUAGAAAAUAGGUAUCAAGACGGUAGCUCCCCUUUUCUUAACGGAGUAUGUGUAAACCUUAUCUUUCCUAACCCUACCCUGGGUUUAGUCAUUCAUUUCCAAACAAUCCCUAGAUUUUAAAUAGUUAAGAAAAACCGUAAUGCAAAUAAAUCCAUGGAAAGCUCCCACAUUAUGUUUGCCUAACCAAGACUCCACAGAGACGCUACACAGGAAAUAAAGAAAUAAGGCCCACAUUCCUCAAAACUGAAUGAGGAAGUGGUGAGUUGGCCCCACUAUAGAGACUCUUAUGUUUGAAAUAUUUUCUCCUUUAUCAAGCUCAUGGGACGAAGGUUUCGUUAAUACACAGAAAUAACCACCAUCCAGUGUAUAACAUAUUUGCCCCUCAUAUUCUCGCAAAUCUAAAUUUCCAUGUUUUUCCACAUAGGCAAGGAAAAGGUAAUGACUAACUCCUGGGCAGUAAAUCAUAUAGACGAUCAGAAAGCAAAUAGGUGACUCCAGAAACACCUAGCAAUCU